rnacentral:lncRNA from 1 species
UUGCCCACUACCUUUGUUGUAACUAACAUUGUUACUACCUUUAUAUACCACCAUUGCCUGAUCACUAACACUACCAAUGCCACCACUACCUCCAUCGCUCUUACGAUCACUAUUCACCAUCACUGGCAUAAUUAUAUUUAUUGAUCUAAAGGUUUGAUUUGAAUGAAAUAAAUAUUUGAGUAUAAGGCUACUAAUUGUGCAUUCAAGAUUGCUUGUCGGCGGGUAAAAUAAGCGUAACAUGACUUGAUCAAUCAAAGAAGUCCCUCAAAAUGUCAAGUUAGAAGGAUUUCAAGAUAAAUUUUCAAGUUUUUGACUUUAAGCAAUUGACUC